AUGGGGGACCGCGGCGCAGCCAGCACCGUCCCCCCGCAGUGCCCGUGCCUGCCUGGCACCCACGGCAUCACCACCGCCCCCCCACCCGGGAAAGUGCCCGACCCAAGUGCCCAUGGGCUGCCCUGGUGCACCCGCAGCAGGGGCAGAGCACUGGGUGGCACAACCCCCAGGGGACCCCGCAGGGUGCCGUGCGUGGCUGUUCCCCCCGCAAGCCCUGGGCACAGCGCAGUGCUCAGCGCUGGGGUCUCUGCUCGUGCCUCUGGCUCUAUGUUUUAUUGCAGAGGGCAAGGGCAUUCUCGGGGUGGGAGCCCCAGCCCUGCCCAAGGCUGGGGCAGGGACCCCAGGGAGGGAGCACACCCACAGCUGGGGUACUCUGGCACCCACGGGCACGUGAGCCGGCCCCAGCCAUCCCCCCCCAAGCCACCAGCAGCCGAGGACAUGGGACACUGCGGGACGUGGCUGCCGCAGCUCCCGCUCCUCGCCGUUACCUGGUCUGAGCCGCAGCCUGGGGAUUAUUUUUGGCUCUGCAUCAUUCUCCAGCUAACGCCGCCGCCUUGUUGCCGCUCUCCUGCCACGCACGACCAUCCUUCAACACCCACGCAGGCGCCGGCCCCGCGCCCGCCGCCCCUCGCCCGCCGGCACAGCCCAUCGCUUCACAUCAAGGUGGCUGGCGGUGAUGCCCGGUGCCCGCAGUUGCCGGCGGCCGAGCCGCGGUGUGGCCAGCUGCCAGCCCUGGCCACGCGCUGCCGCUCGGGCACCCUCAGCCCAGGGGGGCUCCGCUUUGUGCCCCUUCCAGCCUCACGUUGCCACAAAAGCUGCCGGGGGGGAAGGCGCAGAGUGGCAUCCGGUGACGGCGAAGUCUGUGCCAGCUCCUGCCCCCGCGUGCCCUUGGGCUGCACCCGCAGCAGCCGCCCCCCUGCAUCUCUCUCCCCAUCAGCCCGCUCGGCGCUGAGUACUGCUGCAGCUCAUCUCACCCACCGGGCAGCUCAUGCCGCUGCCAGCGUUUGCCAGGGGGGGUGUCUCUGCCCUCCGUGGGGGCUGGGGACACGGCCACCGACCCUGUGCAGGCAGGAGGCUGCUGCAAUGCAGAGAGGGCUGGCGCUGCCGACACUGCGGGCACAGGCAGCCGCCCGCUCUCCCACAGCCGGCCGUGCCCUGUCCCCACGCGGGCACGGACAGCCCCGUUUUGCUGUCCCCUGCCCCUGGCAGAGGGGCUGCAGAGCUUUGGGCCAGCGCUGCUCCUGCAGCAUCCGCACCGCCUGCAUCCCUCCCGCGGCUCCCCGGGGCCUGGGAAGGGCACGAGGGACAAUGCGGGUGCCCCGGGGUGACCAGCCGGGUCCCUGCGUCUCCCUGCUCUUUUUGCCUUUGCCAGAGCUUUGCCUUUGCAGCGACACCGCCAUUAAACGUGCAACCCCCAGUGAAGCAGCCUCGGGGUGCGCUGUCGGAUGA
rnacentral:lncRNA from 1 species